rnacentral:tRNA from 1 species
AGCGCGAUAGCCAAGCGGUUAAGGCAAUGGUCUUUGACACCAUCACUCGUGUGUUCAAAUCACACUCGCGCUG